rnacentral:ribozyme from 13 species
AAAUUUGUUUGUUUUAUGCGUUUCCCUUUGUUGUUCUCUUGUUUCGUUCUCUCCCUUUUCAUGCUGUCCUGGUUCUCGGUAGUGUCGAGAAGAGGAAG